rnacentral:rRNA from 1 species
GACGAACGCUGGCGGCGUGCUUAACACAUGCAAGUCGAACGGAAAGGCCCUGCUUUUGUGGGGUGCUCGAUUGGCGAACGGGUGAGUAACACGUGAGUAACCUGCCCUUGACUUUGGGAUAACUUCAGGAAACUGGGGCUAAUACCGGAUAGGAGCUCCUGCUGCAUGGUGUGGGUUGGAGAGUUUCGGCGGUUGGGGAUGGACUCGCGGCUUAUCAGCUUGUUGGUGGGGUAGUGGCUUACCAAGGCUUUGACGGGUAGCCGGCCUGAGAGGGUGACCGGCCACAUUGGGACUGAGAUACGGCCCAGAAUCCUACGGGAGGCAGCAGUGGGGAAUAUUGCACAAUGGGCGGAAGCCUGAUGCAGCAACGCCGCGUGCGGGAUGACGGCCUUCGGGUUGUAAACCGCUUUCGCCUGUGACGAAGCGUGAGUGACGGUAAUGGGUAAAGAAGCACCGGCUAACUACGUG